rnacentral:lncRNA from 10 species
ACAAAUAUUUGUUGAAUGAGAAAAUAUAUGCAUAAAAGUAUUAUUUUCCAAUUUGUGAAGCCAGCUUCUCAGAAAGAAAAUGGAGUUUAUGAGCAGAGCUUUCCAGUAAAUUUGUAUUUAGUCAUAAUACUACAAACAAGCAUAUCAUUAUUUCUUUAUUUCUUGGUUUUGAAUGGUAAUUAUUUUUGCAAGUUCUGAGUAUUUGCACCAAUUUAUGAAAUACAAGCAGUAAUGAAAUACAAGCAAUUUAUGAAACACAAGCAAUAUUAAACAUGACAGUAGAUGGCUCCUGUUUAUAGGUGAUGCCGGUAACAUUCUAGAAAUAAAUGGCUUGAUUGGAAACUUCUGUUUAAAAAAAAUGUGGGAAGUGAAGGGAAUGAGUUGGCCUUUAACAAAGAGAAAGAGAAUACGAUCAUUUUCUAAAUAUAAUAAAUAGAAUAUCAUAUUUAAUCUAUGUAUGCUUACAUGUAGAAAUAAUUUUUACGACAUCAUGAAACUGGUAAAAUAUGAGGCAGAUAAACUUAGGGGAAGUGAUUUUUCUGGUUAUGAAAUACACUUUUCCCCAAGGUACUCAUAAUUUUAGUUAUUUGUAAAUAAUUUUACUUCAUAAAAGCAUAUUUCUAAGUGAAUGUUUCUGAAAUAUUAAGUUCUUGCAAUAUCUGAGGUUUGUUAAGCAGGUAUUUAGUUAAGCAGGUAUUUAGUUAAGUUAAGCAGGUAUUUAGUUAAGUUAAGCAGGUAUUUAGUUAAGUUAAGCAGGUAUUUAGUCUCAUUUCUGUCUUACAACUCAGCAACCAGAGGUGUUCAGUGCAUCAGAAAGGAGGAAUAUAAGCAUGUUCGAUAGAGUGAUUCUGUCCAAGGUGUUUGCAUACUCAUUUUAUCCUUUCAGCAACCCCGCACAGGGUGCUCUGCUUAUUUUCCGCGUUAUAGAAAAAAACAUCAAAAUGCAGAGCAGGUAAGCAGCUUGCUCAAGACCACCGAGUGAGUUUGAGGCCAUCCUUAUGAAAGAAGAGAAAGGAAGAAAAAAAAAAAACAGUUAAGGCAAGUCCUCAGCAGAGGAUUUAAACAGAGAAACAGCCUGGAAAAUCAAGCUGCAGCUGCACAGAUAAGGGAGCAAAGCUCAACAUAGAAACACCUUUAUUCUUUGUGUAAUCAGCGGGCGCCUAGGAAAAAGUUUCUUUUCCUUUCAUGGACCUGUACAUGGUGGGCUCCCUGGGAACUUACAUGGGGCGGGGGGCUUGCCUAAAACAUGCCUACAGUUGCUCAGACAACAGAAGUGUUACUCCCUGUGCUUGCGUAAGACACGCCCGCAGCUGCACAGAAAAGGGCAGUUACACAAGCAGCUAUAUAGACAGGG